rnacentral:rRNA from 1 species
AGUGAACGCUGGCGGUAGGCCUAACACAUGCAAGUCGAACGGCAGCACAGUAAGAGCUUGCUCUUACGGGUGGCGAGUGGCGGACGGGUGAGGAAUACAUCGGAAUCUACUUUUUCGUGGGGGAUAACGUAGGGAAACUUACGCUAAUACCGCAUACGACCUACGGGUGAAAGCAGGGGAUCUUCGGACCUUGCGCGAUUGAAUGAGCCGAUGUCGGAUUAGCUAGUUGGCGGGGUAAAGGCCCACCAAGGCGACGAUCCGUAGCUGGUCUGAGAGGAUGAUCAGCCACACUGGAACUGAAACACGGUCCAGACUACUACGGGAGGCAGCAGUGGGGAAUAUUGGACAAUGGGCGCAAGCCUGAUCCAGCCAUACCGCGUGGGUGAAGAAGGCCUUCGGGUUGUAAAGCCCUUUUGUUGGGAAAGAAAAGCAGCAGGUUAAUACCCCGCUGUUCUGACGGUACCCGAAGAAUAAGCACCGGCUAACUUCGUG